rnacentral:rRNA from 1 species
GCGGGGCAACUCGCAAGUAAAGUGGCGUACGGGUGAGUAACACGUGGAUCAUCCACCCUUUAGUGUGGAAUAACCCUGGGAAACCGGGGCUAAUACCGCAUAAUCCCGAGAGGGGAAAGCAGCAAUGCGCUGAAGGAGGAGUCCGCGGCCGAUUAGCUAGUUGGUAGGGUAAAAGCCUACCAAGGCAAAGAUCGGUAGCCGGCCUGAGAGGGCACACGGCCACACUGGCACUGAAACACGGGCCAGACUCCUACGGGAGGCAGCAGUGGGGAAUCUUGCACAAUGGGGGAAACCCUGAUGCAGCGACGCCGCGUGAGCGAUGAAGCCCUUCGGGGUGUAAAGCUCUUUCGGCAGGGAAGACUUUGACGGUACCUGCAGAAGCAGCUGCGGCUAACUACGUGCCAGCAGCCGCGGUAAUACGUAGGCAGCAAGCGUUGUUCGGAGUUACUGGGCGUAAAGGGUGCGUAGGCGGUUCCCUAAGUUUGGUGUGAAAUCUCCCGGCUCAACUGGGAGGGUGCGCCGAAAACUGGGGAGCUAGAGUGCGGGAGAGGGUAGUGGAAUUCCUAGUGUAGGAGUGAAAUCCGUAGAUAUUAGGAGGAACACCGGUGGCGAAGGCGGCUACCUGGACCGAUAUUGACGCUGAGACGCGAAAGCGUGGGUAGCAAACAGGAUUAGAUACCCUGGUAGUCCACGCCGUAAACGAUGAGUACUAGGUGUUGCGGGUAUUGACCCCUGCAGUGCCGCAGCUAACGCA